rnacentral:piRNA from 1 species
UGGAAUUACACACGUGCGCCACCAUGGCCAGC